UAGCCAAGACAAUGUGGGGAAAAGCCUU
rnacentral:piRNA from 1 species